rnacentral:rRNA from 1 species
CACGUAGGGUGCGAGCGUUGUCCGGAAUUAUUGGGCGUAAAGAGCUCGUAGGCGGUGUGUCGCGUCGGCCGUGAAAACCUGCAGCUUAACUGUGGGCUUGCGGUCGAUACGGGCAUCACUGGAGUUCGGCAGGGGAGACUGGAAUUCCUGGUGUAGCGGUGAAAUGCGCAGAUAUCUGGAGGAACACCGGUGGCGAAGGCGGGUCUCUGGGCCGAUAUUGACGCUGAGGAGCGAAAGCGUGGGGAGCGAACAGG